rnacentral:rRNA from 1 species
AUUCGCGGCCUAUCAGCUUGUUGGUGAGGUAACGGUUCACCAAGGCGACGACGGGUAGCCGGCCUGAGAGGGUGACCAGCCACACUGGGACUGAGACACGGCCCAGACUCCUACGGGAGGCAGCAGUGGGGAAUAUUGCACAAUGGGCGCAAGCCUGAUGCAGCAACGCCGCGUGAGGGACGACGGCCUUCGGGUUGUAAACCUCUUUUAGUAGGGAAGAAGCGAAAGUGACGGUACCUGCAGAAAAAGCACCGGCUAACUACGUGCCAGCAGCCGCGGUAAUACGUAGGGUGCAAGCGUUGUCCGGAAUUAUUGGGCGUGAAGAGCUCGUAGGCGGUCUGUCGCGUCUGCUGUGAAAACCCGAGGCUCAACCUCGGGCCUGCAGUGGGUACGGGCAGACUAGAGUGCGGUAGGGGAGAUUGGAAUUCCUGGUGUAGCGGUGGAAUGCGCAGAUAUCAGGAGGAACACCGAUGGCGAAGGCAGAUCUCUGGGCCGUAACUGACGCUGAGGAGCGAAAGCGUGGGGAGCGAACAGGAUUAGAUACCCUGGUAGUCCACGCCGUAAACGUUGGGCGCUAGAUGUGGGGACCAUUCCACGGUUUCCGUGUCGCAGCUAACGCAUUAAGCGCCCC